UCUGAAACUCAGCGUGGAUACAGAGAAGCUGAUGUUUUAGA
rfam:Poecilia formosa, whole genome shotgun sequence.